GACGAACGCUGGCGGCGUGCCUAAUACAUGCAAGUAGAACGCUGAAGGAGGAGCUUGCUUCUCUGGAUGAGUUGCGAACGGGUGAGUAACGCGUAGGUAACCUGCCUGGUAGCGGGGGAUAACUAUUGGAAACGAUAGCUAAUACCGCAUAAGAUUGACUAUUGCAUGAUAGUCAGUUAAAAGGUGCAAUUGCAUCACUACCAGAUGGACCUGCGUUGUAUUAGCUAGUUGGUGGGGUAACGGCUCACCAAGGCGACGAUACAUAGCCGACCUGAGAGGGUGAUCGGCCACACUGGGACUGAGACACGGCCCAGACUCCUACGGGAGGCAGCAGUAGGGAAUCUUCGGCAAUGGACGGAAGUCUGACCGAGCAACGCCGCGUGAGUGAAGAAGGUUUUCGGAUCGUAAAGCUCUGUUGUAAGAGAAGAACGAGUGUGAGAGUGGAAAGUUCACACUGUGACGGUAUCUUACCAGAAAGAGACGGCUAACUACGUG
rnacentral:rRNA from 1 species